rnacentral:rRNA from 1 species
UACGUAGGGCGCAAGCGUUGUCCGGAAUUAUUGGGCGUAAAGAGCUCGUAGGCGGUUUGUCGCGUCUGCUGUGAAAACCUAAGGCUCAACCUUGGGCUUGCAGUGGGUACGGGCAGACUAGAGUGCGGUAGGGGUGACUGGAAUUCCUGGUGUAGCGGUGGAAUGCGCAGAUAUCAGGAGGAACACCGAUGGCGAAGGCAGGUCACUGGGCCGCAACUGACGCUGAGGAGCGAAAGCAUGGGGAGCGAAAGGG